rnacentral:misc_RNA from 1 species
UCCGGUUUGUCACCGGCAGUCACGCCAGAGUGCCCGGCAUUACCCGUCGGCAACUGGCAUCGAGGGUUGCGCUCGUUGCGGGACUUAACCCAACAUCUCACGACACGAGCUGACGACAGCCAUGCACCACCUGUCACCGAGCUCCUCGCGGCACUCCGGUGUUUCCACCAGAUUCUCGGGAUGUCAAACCUUGGUAAGGUUCUUCGCGUUGCAUCGAAUUAAACCACAUGCUCCACCGCUUGUGCGGGCCCCCGUCAAUUCCUUUGAGUUUCAGUCUUGCGACCGUACUCCCCAGGCGGGAUACUUAACGCGUUAGCUACGGCACCGCGGGGGUCGAUACCCACGACACCUAGUCCGCAUCGUUUACGGCGUGGACUAC